AGCAUGAGGCAAAACAAAACCUCUUGAAGCUUCCAGCUGGCUGAGCUGCGUAUCUGUACAGCAAUGUUACAUGUGUUUUAAAACAUGAUUAACAAGGCAGUUGCCAAGCUUUUCUUAUGGUUUGUUUAAUGAGCUUCUGAAUGGUGGAAAUAAUCAGAAAAGUUCUCAAUUCAUGCCUAUCCUUAAGGACAAACACCAACAUUUUUUCCUUUUUUUUUUUCUCAGACCGCUGAGCCCAGUGAUCCAGUCUUAUGCUUGGAGGGACUGUGACAGGUGUAUAUGCCCAGAAGGAAACACAGGAGGAGAAAGUCUACAGACUGGAACAGCAAGGACAGUGGGCAAAUUGUGGAAAUGCUUCACUCCUAGAAGGUUGCUGAGAAGAAAGUUGCUGGAAGUGCCAGAAAUGUGUACGUGCUCCAUGGGUGUGCUCAGGUGAUGCAGACCAGCAAGUCAUGGCUCUCUUGUACAACCCCAUUACUCAGGUUACUCCUGAAGAUCUGGAUUCAGCUGCCCUGCCCUGAUUUCAGUUUUCAGUUCUGACAUGGGAUGGCUCCUUUUACAGCUCCCUGUGAACAGUCAGGGAAAGAGGUCUGCCACAAAGCCAAGGAAGUUGAAAAGAUGGCUGCUGCAGCAUGCCCACGGUACUGUUCUAGUUCUUGCGUUUUAGUGGCAGAAAAGGGAUUUGUCAUCUGCUGAUAACCAAAUAAGUGCAGUUACCUGAUGAU